CUCAUUGUAGCUCAGUGGUAGAGUGCUUGCCUUUCAUGCAUGAGGCACUGGGUUCAAUCCUCAGCAACAAAU
rnacentral:tRNA from 1 species